AGAGUUUGAUCCUGGCUCAGGACGAACGCUGGCGGCGUGCCUAACACAUGCAAGUCGAACGGGGUAGUGAGCUUCGGUUCACUACUUAGUGGCGAACGGGUGAGUAACGCGUGAGGAACCUGCCUUUCAGUGGGGGACAACAGUUGGAAACGACUGCUAAUACCGCAUAAAGUUAUUUGGGGGCAUCCCUGGGUAACCAAAGCUUAAUGUGCUGAAAGAUGGUCUCGCGUCUGAUUAGCUGGUUGGCGGGGUAACGGCCCACCAAGGCGACGAUCAGUAGCCGGUCUGAGAGGAUGAACGGCCACAUUGGGACUGAGAUACGGCCCAGACUCCUACGGGAGGCAGCAGUGGGGAAUAUUGGGCAAUGGGGGAAACCCUGACCCAGCAACGCCGCGUGAAGGAAGAAGGCUUUCGGGUUGUAAACUUCUUUUAGCAGGGACGAAGGACGUGACGGUACCUGCAGAAAAAGCAACGGCUAACUACGUGCCAGCAGCCGCGGUAAUACGUAGGUUGCAAGCGUUGUCCGGAAUUACUGGGUUUAAAGGGUGCGUAGGCUGUUUCUUAAGUCAGCGGUGAAAUUUAGGGGCUCAACCUCUACCGUGCCGUUGAUACUGGGAGACUGGAAUGCGGAUGCCGUGGGAGGAAUGUGUGGUGUAGCGGUGAAAUGCAUAGAUAUCACACAGAACACCGAUUGCGAAGGCAUCUCACGAAUCCGCGAUUGACGCUGAUGCACGAAAGCGUGGGGAUCAAACAGGAUUAGAUACCCUGGUAGUCCACGCUGUAAACGAUGAUGACUAACCGUCGGCGAUACACAGUCGGUGGCCAAGCGAAAGCGAUAAGUCAUCCACCUGGGGAGUACGUUCGCAAGAAUGAAACUCAAAGGAAUUGACGGGGGCCCGCACAAGCGGAGGAACAUGUGGUUUAAUUCGAUGAUACGCGAGGAACCUUACCCGGGCUCGAACGGCAGAUGAACAAUCCAGAGAUGGAUUGGUCUUCGGACAUCUGUCGAGGUGCUGCAUGGUUGUCGUCAGCUCGUGCUGUGAAGUGUCGGCUUAAGUGCCAUAACGAGCGCAACCCUUGCCGUUAGUUGCCAUCAGGUGAUGCUGGGGACUCUAGCGGGACUGCCACCGCAAGGUGUGAGGAAGGGGGGGAUGACGUCAAAUCAGCACGGCCCUUACGUCCUGGGCUACACACGUACUACAAUGGCUGUUAACAAAGUGAACCAACACUGUGAGGUAGAGGAAAACACAAAAAACAGUCUCAGUUCGGAUUGUAGGCUGCAACUCGCCUACAUGAAGCCGGAAUUGCUAGUAAUCGCGGAUCAGCAUGCCGCGGUGAAUACGUUCCCGGGCCUUGCACACACCGCCCGUCA
rnacentral:rRNA from 1 species